rnacentral:rRNA from 1 species
CCCUUAGAUGUUCUGGGCCGCACGCGCGCUACACUGACGAAUGCAACGAGCUUAUAACCUUGGCCGAAAGGUCUGGGUAAUCUCCAAAUUUCGUCGUGAUGGGGAUAGAUUAUUGCAAUUAUUAAUCUUCAACGAGGAAUGCCUAGUAAGCGCUAGUCAUCAGCUUGCGUUGAUUACGUCCCUGCCCUUUGUACACACCGCCCGUCGCUCCUACCGAUUGAAUGGUCCGGUGAAGCGUUCGGACCGUGGCCUUUGGACGGUUCGCCGUCUGUUGGCUGCGGGAAGUUCGUUAAACCUUAUCAUUUAGAGGAAGGAGAANUCGUANCA